rnacentral:rRNA from 1 species
CUGGCUCAGGACGAACGCUGGCGGCGUGCCUAAUACAUGCAAGUCGAGCGAACAGAGAAGGAGCUUGCUCCUUCGACGUUAGCGGCGGACGGGUGAGUAACACGUGGGCAACCUACCUUAUAGUUUGGGAUAACUCCGGGAAACCGGGGCUAAUAC